GUAAGGAAUAUUGGGCAAUGGUCGGAAGACUGACCCAGCCAUGCCGCGUGCAGGAAGACGGCCCUCUGGGUUGUAAACUGCUUUUAUCUGGGAAGAAAAAGGCCAUGCGUGGCAAAUUGCCGGUACCAGAUGAAUAAGCACCGGCUAACUCCGUGCCAGCAGCCGCGGUAAUACGGAGGGUGCGAGCGUUGUCCGGAUUGAUUGGGUUUAAAGGGUGCGUAGGCGGCUGAUUAAGUCAGCGGUGAAAGACUUCGGCUUAACCGGAGCAGUGCCGUUGAUACUGGUUGGCUUGAGUGUCGGAGGGGUACAUGGAAUUGAUGGUGUAGCGGUGAAAUGCAUAGAUACCAUCAGGAACACCGAUAGCGAAGGCAUUGUACUGGCCGACAACUGACGCUGAUGCACGAAAGUGUGGGGAUCGAACAGGAUUAGAAACCCCAGUAGUCC
rnacentral:rRNA from 1 species